GACGAACGCUGGCGGCGUGCUUAACACAUGCAAGUCGAACGGAAAGGCCUCUUUCGGGGGGUACUCGAGUGGCGAACGGGUGAGUAACACGUGAGUAACCUGCCCUUGACUUUGGGAUAACUUCAGGAAACUGGGGCUAAUACCGGAUAGGAGCUCCUGCUGCAUGGUGGGGGUUGGAAAGUUUCGGCGGUUGGGGAUGGACUCGCGGCUUAUCAGCUUGUUGGUGGGGUAGUGGCUUACCAAGGCUUUGACGGGUAGCCGGCCUGAGAGGGUGACCGGCCACAUUGGGACUGAGAUACGGCCCAGACUCCUACGGGAGGAAGCAGGGGGGAAUAUUGCACAAUGGGUGGAAGCCGGAUGCAGCAACGCCGUGUGCGGGAUGACGGCCUUCGGGUUGUAAACCGCUUUCGCUCAUGACGAAGCUUUGUGUGACGGUAGUGGGUAAAGAAGCACCGGCUAACUACGUG
rnacentral:rRNA from 1 species